rnacentral:rRNA from 1 species
AACGAACGCUGGCGGCAUGCCUAACACAUGCAAGUCGAACGAAGGCUUCGGCCUUAGUGGCGCACGGGUGCGUAACGCGUGGGAAUCUGCCCUUUGGUUCGGAAUAACAGCUGGAAACGGCUGCUAAUCCCGGAUGAUGACGAAAGUCCAAAGAUUUAUCGCCAGAGGAUGAGCCCGCGUUGGAUUAGGUAGUUGGUGGGGUAAAGGCCUACCAAGCCGACGAUCCAUAGCUGGUCUGAGAGGAUGAUCAGCCACACUGGGACUGAGACACGGCCCAGACUCCUACGGGAGGCAGCAGUGGGGAAUACUGGACAAUGGGCGCAAGCCUGAUCCAGCAAUGCCGCGUGAGUGAUGAAGGCCCUAGGGUUGUAAAGCUCUUUUACCCGGGAAGAUAAUGACUGUACCGGGAGAAUAAGCCCCGGCUAACUCCGUG